GGGUCAGUAGGUUGGUCGUGCCACCGGUACGUACUGGUCUCACUGAUUCCUCCUUCCUGAAGGACCGUAAUGCCAUUAAUUUGGUGUUGCGGGGAAACAGGACUGUUACUUUGAAAAAAUUAGAGUGUUUAAAGCAAGCUAACGCUUGAAUACAUUAGCAUGGGAUAAUGAAAUAGGACGAUCGAUCCUAUUUUGCUGGUUUCUAGGAUCGACGUA
rnacentral:rRNA from 1 species